rnacentral:lncRNA from 1 species
UAUCUCUUCUAACCAAAUCGACGCCUCCACCUCAUUCCCAUCUCUGCCCGCCUCCAAACUCUCCGGAACUCGCCCCAAACCCGGCGAGUUCACCCAUCGGCCCCCCCUUCUCUCUUCUCCUUCUUUCACAUUGCUAAUCUCAAUGAAUUUCAUCAUUUCAGUCUGAUUCACGCGAAUUUCUUCUUUUAUCUCUUUUAUUUUUGUAUAAAAUCUGAGCCCUUGGAAUAAAGGUGGGAAAAUAGGACCCAUUGGAUUAAAAAUCUUGAUCCAAAACUUCCAUUUUUUGUUUUUUUUUCAAACAAGGAUUUUCGGAUUUUUGCAUGGGGUUCCACACAGAUUUUUGGGUUUCUUGGUGAAGAAGAAUGGAAGAUUCGAACACCCCUAAAUAUUGGGGGUGAUUUCUCAAGGGAAGAGGGGAGAGGAAAGGCUAGGGUUUUUCGGAUUUUUGUUUGUUUUUCAAAUUUCAAUUCAUUCGAAAAUUAGAGCUCUCUUUGGGGUGCUAUUGGAUUUUUUUGUUUUCAUACAUAAAAGAAAAAAAUAGUUUCUUCUAAUUCGAAUUUCACUUCAAAGUCAAAAAAAAAAAUCAGUUCUUUCUUCUGUUUUCUUGUUCGAAAUGGAGUUUAGCUGAGGUUCGAGGUUCGAUAUAAGUCGCCAAUCUGAAGUUCUGUCUGGGCUCAUGUCCGAUUCAAGUUCCCGUUGUAGCUGGGAUUUUGUUAUUCUCGUGUAACUGCUGAACCUUUUGGAGAAAUUGAAGUUCCAGUUAUUAGGUGCAUUUCUUCCCCUAAUGAUCUCACUUCUCGGUAUCCUUAAGUAUGAUAAGAGCUAUAAAGAACUAACCUCCAUGGUGAUAGAUAUUUGAUUGCGACUUGUUGUUAGAAAGGGAUUUUUCGAUCUAUGCUUGUUUUUCGAUGCAAUAUCUUAUUGUCUGAUAUGUCUGGAUAAGAGUAACUGAAUAUGAGAAUGUCCAGAUUGUAUUCGAGUCUCCGGAUUACAUUCGUUCAUAUUUGACUUAUUGACGUAUGAUCCGUUCUUUUUUGUUUGUUUGUAUUCUGCCCAGUUUUCAUGUGUUACAAAUGAUUGCUUAGUAUUCAUGCUAGAUUUUGAAUGGAUUUUUACAUUGAUAUUCAGUUGAGGAGUUGUGUUGCUAUCUUGUGGUUGAACUAGUUCCUUGGGUCUCAAAAGUGGCAGAAUACUUACACAUUAGAUUCAGAAUGUUAUGUCCAUUUGGUGAAGUUUAAGUUGAUCAACUUCCCUGUUUGAAAUUGCAAAAUGUUUCGCGCUUCACUCUUCCUGUUGACUAAGCGAUUGUUUGCAUGAGUAAGUUUAAAAUGAAUGAUUCUUUGUUUUCGAUCUUGUAAGCUUGUUUGGCAGGCUUAAUCAAGUUGAAUGCGCUAAUCAUGGAAUACCUGUGAUGGUGUCUCCCUGUGUAACUGAACUAACUGUAUGAGGAUCAUUAGGGCUCAGAUUCAUCUAACUCUUCUUCAUGGUUCUAUCUGUAUUUCACUUCACUCUUAAACAACAUAAGUUCAAUGUUAAGGAACUGACGUGAUCUGUUUGAGAAGUUGUUACAAAGUUCUGCUGAUCGGAAAUUCCAUGAUCUUUGUUAUUGAAGGGGCAGUUGUUGUGUUUGAUAAAUUAGAGGUCCUUUAUCUUUUUGAACUUACCAUGUGGGACUGUCACAUUUUGAAUAAAGGUAUAUGAUAUGAUAUUAACCUGCUUGAGUUUGUGAUUUUGGAGUCGAAAGAUUUAUUGGGGUCAAGAAUUUAUUCAGGGUUCGGGUUAGAUUAUGUUGCUACUAGAUAAUGCUAUCGUGUAAAUACUAUUGGUCGUUUGUGAGAAUGUUAACUUUUUGUGCUUUUAUUUAGAACAUAUUCAUUGAAUUCUUUGUGCGAAGCAUGUGACAUGGGUGGCAUUUGAGUAGUAUUAGUGAAAUACUUUGAUAUUUUGAUUUUUGAAUUAAGUUAGGAUGUCUGUUUGUCCACUGAGGUGCCUCAUAGAUCUUGUCAUUUUACCAACUUGCUUUACCUUUUGAUCUCCUAGAAUUCCUGUUUAGUCGUUCACCUGUUAUUAGUAGUAUGUCCAUGUCGAAUUCCUUUGUUGAUGCGUGUUGAGUCCUUUUAAGAUUGAAUGGAGUUCUAGUUGUUCGAUUGUGGGGUUUAGCUUUUUAAACGUGGAGGAAAUCGGGCUUAGAUAAUCUCGUUACUCGUUUAUUCUUACUCUCAUGAAUUUGAUCGAUAGUGGCAUGCUUAGGCCGAGAUGUCUGUUAGCAAGCCUUAGUUCGAUGUUUGAUUGAUAUUCUUACCCUAACCUACUCUCAUGGGUAGGAAAGCCUUAGAAUUGUUUGUUAGCUUUUGAGGCGAGAGGUCGUCCCCUUAGUGAAAUAUAUCCAGGGAUUGCCCC